rnacentral:rRNA from 1 species
UACGUAGGGCGCAAGCGUUGUCCGGAAUUAUUGGGCGUAAAGAGCUCGUAGGCGGUUUGUCGCGUCAAUGUGAAAACCCGGGGCUCAACCCCGGGCCUGCAUUCGAUACGGGCAGACUAGAGUUCGGUAGGGGAGUCUGGAAUUCCUGGUGUAGCGGUGAAAUGCGCAGAUAUCAGGAGGAACACCGGUGGCGAAGGCGGGGUCUCUGGGCCGAUACUGACGUGAGGAGCGAAAAGCGUGGGGGAGCGAACAGG